rnacentral:rRNA from 1 species
GUGGGGAAUCUUAGACAAUGGGCGCAAGCCUGAUCUAGCCAUGCCGCGUGAGCGAUGAAGGCCUUAGGGUUGUAAAGCUCUUUCGUGGGGGAAGAUAAUGACUGUACCCCAAGAAGAAGCCCCGGCUAACUCCGUGCCAGCAGCCGCGGUAAUACGGAGGGGGCUAGCGUUGUUCGGAAUUACUGGGCGUAAAGCGCACGUAGGCGGAUUGGAAAGUUGGGGGUGAAAUCCCGGGGCUCAACCCCGGAACUGCCUUCAAAACUCCCAGUCUUGAGUUCGAGAGAGGUGAGUGGAAUUCCGAGUGUAGAGGUGAAAUUCGUAGAUAUUCGGAGGAACACCAGUGGCGAAGGCGGCUCACUGGCUCGAUACUGACGCUGAGGUGCGAAAGCGUGGGGAGCAAACAGGAUUAGAUACCCUUGUAGUCC